UACGAAGGGGGCUAGCGUUGCUCGGAAUCACUGGGCGUAAAGGGUGCGUAGGCGGGUCUUUAAGUCAGAGGUGAAAUCCUGGAGCUCAACUCCAGAACUGCCUUUGAUACUGAAGAUCUUGAGUUCGGGAGAGGUGAGUGGAACUGCGAGUGUAGAGGUGAAAUUCGUAGAUAUUCGCAAGAACACCAGUGGCGAAGGCGGCUCACUGGCCCGUUACUGACGCUGAGGCACGAAAGCGUGGGGAGCAAACAGG
rnacentral:rRNA from 1 species